GCGGAAAUAGCUCAAUGGUAGAGUAUGGCCUUGCCAAGGCUAUGGUUGAGGGUUCGAAUCCCUUUUUCCGCU
rnacentral:tRNA from 1 species